GGAAGUUCCACCAGCACCAGUAGAUGUGGGCGAUUAGGAGGCUGACCACUAGUAGUACUGGCUCGUGAUAGAUUUAGGUGCCGGUAGUCACCACCGCCACUCGGUAGGGUGACAUCAUCUCCACCAUCUAUAGUAUUCCUAUCAGCAUCGCCAGCGGCAGCUCCGACUGUUACUCGACCACCAUCUACUGUGUCACUAUUAGCUCCUUCGGCGACAGCUCCGGUUGCUACUCCACCACCCCCACAGCUUCCAGAUACAUUUGCUGCUCCUACUUUACCACCCCCAUGCCUCCAACUUGUAGAGACGUCAUCACGUAAUACACUUGUUAGGAGUCCAACGACUGGACCACCAUCACCCGCCAUUAAUAUGAUAACUGGAUAUGUGUCGCGCCUCCUCGAGAUUAAUCUAGAAAUAUACUUUUACGUUAUAGCAACAUAGGCUUUUAGUUUCAUUUUACUUAUUGCGUUACUUUAAUUCACCAAGUCUUUUUUAAUUUUGGUGCAGUAGCCAGUUUAUCUAGUCACAUGUUGCUUUAUCCACCAUGACCUAAAGUUUUCUUCUACAUUCAUGCAAGUGGCAUGAUUGGAAGAACGUGUCAAAUGACGUUGUCGCGUUCUAUUGGGAGGAGUUCAGGAAGGUCAUUGGGAUCCUCGGCUAGGUACCAUGAUGUAUCAGAGGUGGUCUGAGAGGGCCCAAGGGACAGAGACCGGCUGGGGUCUGAGAGGAGGUGUGGGGUAGUUGAAUGGCUCAUUGGUCCUAUAAGAAGUUUCAGAGAAAGCACGUUGAUGCCUCCAUGAAUCGGCGCAAUGAUACUGGAGGCGAGGGAUCAAGACCUCCACUCCAUACGAGAGGUUUGAUCUCUAUGGUGGAGAGAGCCAAAAGGAUGGAUUAGUAUCAUUAAUUGAUAAAGACUGCUUUUCAGGCAGCUAAGGGAUCCACGGAGCCAUCAGAGCCAGACACUACAAAGCUAUCCCUCCAAGUAGCAGGCGGUGAGAAGAAGCGUCGAGUCUAUGGCAUGGGUGCUAAGGCACCCUCUUUCUUUAGUCAUGGAUUAUCCUACAGCUCCACUAGUAGGUUUGAGGUAACAGACGUCCUAGAUCCUCUAAAGAUGCGAGUCAUCGAGAUUGUGCAAUAGUAGGUGCGUUCUCUAUUGAUGAGGACACACUUAUUCGCCACUAGGAGCAGGAGGUGGUGACUUCUAGUACCGUAUAGAGGUCCGACAACUCACCUGAGAGGUCCUUAGAGAGUUUCUGAUGCCCGACACAUCCUCCUAUGGCCCAGUCCAGCAGCAGCAGCAGCAUCAACAAGAUGACCAGGAUCAGUCGAAGAUCAACUUUUAGUUUAGAUUUUUUUUAUUCUUUAUAUAUGUUUGUUAUUGUCCAUUACAAUAAACAUGAAUAAUACUCUUUUUUUAUUAUA